rnacentral:tRNA from 1 species
GCCGGUGGUGGUGGAGGCCUGGCACGACAUCCGCCAGCGUCGGAUGAGCAUGGAACUGUCCAUGCUGCUGGCGAUCAUCGCCGCCGGCGUCA